GGCUCAUGAUGAACGCUAGCGACAGGCUUAACACAUGCAAGUCGAGGGGUAACAGGGUGUAGCAAUACACCGCUGACGACCGGCGCACGGGUGAGUAACGCGUAUGCAACCUGCCUUUGACAGAGGGAUAGCCCAUGGAAACGUGGAUUAAUACCUCAUAGUCUCUUUUUCCUUCCUGGGGAAUAGAGUAAAACGAGAGUGGUCAAAGAUGGGCAUGCGUCCUAUUAGGCAGUUGGCGGGGUAACGGCCCACCAAACCGAUGAUAGGUAGGGGUUCUGAGAGGAAGGUCCCCCACACUGGUACUGAGACACGGACCAGACUCCUACGGGAGGCAGCAGUGAGGAAUAUUGGUCAAUGGUCGAGAGACUGAACCAGCCAAGUCGCGUGAGGGAUGACUGCCCUAUGGGUUGUAAACCUCUUUUCUACUGGGAGAAUAAGCCCUAUGUAUAGGGUGAUGACAGUACAGUAGGAAUAAGCAUCGGCUAACUCCGUGCCAGCAGCCGCGGUAAUACGGAGGAUGCGAGCGUUAUCCGGAUUUAUUGGGUUUAAAGGGUGCGUAGGCGGCUUUAUAAGUUAGUGGUAAAAUUUCGGAGCUUCACUCCGGUCCGCCAUUAAAACUGUAGAGCUAGAGAAUGGACGAGGUAGGCGGAAUAAGUUAAGUAGCGGUGAAAUGCAUAGAUAUAACUUAGAACUCCGAUAGCGAAGGCAGCUUACCAGACCAUAACUGACGCUGAUGCACGAGAGCGUGGGUAGCGAACAGGAUUAGAUACCCUGGUAGUCCACGCCGUAAACGAUGCUCACCCGGCCCUUACCGAUAAGAACGUUAGGGGUUAAAUUGAAAGAAUUAAGUGAGCCCCCCUGGGGGAGUACCUCCGCAACGAUGAAACUCAAAGGAAUGGAGGGGGGCCCGCACAAGCGGAGGAACAUGUGGUUUAAUUCGAUGAUACGCGAGGAACCUUACCUGGGUUUAAAUGUAUGUUGCAUAAUCUGGAAACAGUUUUUCUCUUCGGAGCUAUAUACAAGGUGCUGCAUGGUUGUCGUCAGCUCGUGCCGUGAGGUGUCGGGUUAAGUCCCAUAACGAGCGCAACCCUUACCGUUAGUUGCUAGCAUGUAAUGAUGAGCACUCUAGCGGGACUGCCACCGUAAGGUGAGAGGAAAGGGGGGAUGACGUCAAAUCAGCACGGCCCUUACAUCCAGGGCGACACACGUGUUACAAUGGCCAUAACAGCGGGUAGCUACCGGGCGACCGGAUGCAAAUCUCGAAAAUUGGUCUAAGUUCGGAUUGGAGUCUGCAACCCGACUCCAUGAAGUUGGAUUCGCUAGUAAUCGCGCAUCAGCCAUGGCGCGGUGAAUACGUUCCCGGGCCUUGUACACACCGCCCGUCAAGCCAUGGAAGCUGGGAGUACCAGAAGUCCGUAACCGCGAGGAUCGGCCUAGGGUA
rnacentral:rRNA from 1 species